rnacentral:misc_RNA from 1 species
CAAUUCAUAACCAAUCCGUCCUUCUUUUACUGUGCCCGUCCCACCUGUGUUCCCUUGUACACCACGUAAGGGCCCCACCUCCCUUCUCGCUUUGCCUCCCGCGCACUUUUGUGCUCCCGCCAUCCCUUCUGCAGCGGAUCUGCGGUACACAACCGCGCCCGUCUCUUUGUGCGUUUCUUCUUUCCGGCGUUCACGGAAGCCAUGGAUCGUGCAGCAACCUCCGACGCGCGUGCGCGCAGCAGCCUCUCCAAGGCGCAGGAGCACUUGAAGAACAAUGACGUAAAGGAAGCUAUCGACGCCCUCUCGUCGCAUUUGCGCUUUAACCAAGUUACUCCUAUCGGGUUUGAGUGUCUCGAGCUGCUGGCCGACCUCUGCCUUACCCAGGAGAAGCUGGAACCGGUUAAACUGAUCGAGGUGCUCCGCCGCUGCCGCAGCGGUCUCCGCGGUUCGCAGCACGUGGAGGAGAGCGUGCAGCGCAUCGUUGACUCCGUCAUGAUCCGCAUCCGACAGAUGUGCGCAAAAGCAAAGGAGCGCACAGAGGCGAUGCAGAUCAAUGCCACGGAAGGCGACCGGAUGCUCGCUGCCUUGAACGGCAUCUCUCUCGCCGCGCUCGCCGAGAAGCGCCACAUCAUCCCCUGCCACGCCGCCCUGCGCCGCCUCAUUCGCCACUUCUGUGGCAACAACACUAUCGGUUUUGCCAAAAAACUGACGUUUAUUUACAACAAGACAGUCCGCCAGUUCCUAUCCAUGUGCAAGGAGUUCAACGCGCCUGCGUGUGUGCUGGACAUCUCCAGUGCUGUGUCACGCGCUGUGUCGCACAUGGCGCUGGACCACCUGCACGACCACGACGAUGCAGCGUCGCGAAACGCUGUACAGGAGUUGCUGAAGGAGCGUGCUGCCUUCUUGGCGUCCACGUCGGCGGUUACCGAGACAGUGGAGACGCUGUGCUGCCUGCUCAAUGACAUCUGCAGCCUGCGCCAAUACGGUGGCGCCUUCGACGUUCUGUCGUGCUUGAAGCGCGUGUGCGACAAGGUGCAGCGCAACGAGGAGUUUGUCGAUGUGGUGUCGGGGGCCUACGAAACAAUGAGCGAUAUCUUCUGGACGUGCUCCGUGUACAACUACCAUGCCUACUGCCUUUCAGUUGCCGCGUCGAUGAAGCGACAAGAGAAGCGCGGCCCACUCGCCGCUCGCGCCGUCCUUGCUUCACUGUGUGUAGCCGAUGGCGACAUGGAACUGGACCCGUUUGGCCGCUACCGUGAGAAGAAUGCCCGCAUCGACGAGCUGUUUGAGUCGCCGAUCACGACCAAAACGAGCCUCAUCGCCAACCUCAAGACCAAGGGUGUGUACACGCUGGCCUCCCCGGAAAUCGUAAAGAUCGCGGCCAACCUCGAAGACCCCGACUUCUCCGACUUCACGGGACUACACAAGAGCGUGACGGCGCUGACGGCAGCCAACAGCGACCUCGCCCGCUACGGGAACGAGCUCCACAAGAUGAUCCUGCGCUACCAGCUGGAGGUUCUCUCCGGUACCUGCAACUACGUCGAGGUGCUCUCUCUCGCGGCGUACAACGGCAACCUGACGGCAGCGGAGUACGUUAACAACAUUGAGCCCGUCAUCCUCGGCGAUGAGUCCGUCUCUGUCGACAUUGACACGCGCACAAACACACUGUCGUUUCGCGACUCGUCGAAGGCCAAGAUGUUGAGCUACUUUAACAAGAUCGUUGCAAACGUGGACACUGUCCCCGCGUCCUCGCUAGCGACGACAUCUGGCCGCUACUCGGACUUCACCCACGUUGCCGCGUCCUCGUCGAAGAGGCAGGUGAUGCCGUCGGCAGCGGAUCUCGACGCGGCACGUGCGCGUAGCACCAGCAUCUACGCGCUGCAAAAGGCCUGCAUGAACUCCAAGGCGGAGCGCAUCGAGGAGGCAAAGAAAAGCGAGGAUAAGAAGCGGGAGCGGGCCGUGGCGGAGCGCCGCGAGCAAGAGGAGGCAAAGAAGGAGGAGACGCAAAAGGCUUACAUCCGCAAGCUGUACGCCGAGUAUAACGAACGCCAGCGGCAGGAGCGGGGAAAGGAGGUGCUCCGCAAGCUGCGCAUCAAGUACCCCGGCUUCAAGGUCGACGAGUCUAUUGUUUACCGCAGCGCCGCAGGGUUCGAGGAUGAGCUCACCCGCCUGCUCGCGGCCUUCAAGCGCCGCGGCGUCGACAACGACCGCAAGGAGAUCCUCCAGGCAAACCUGUACGAGCGUGCUCUCCGCGCGCUGGAGAUUCCGAAGCGCAAGGAGUACGAGGCGCAGAACGCAGAGCGAACCCGCGCCGAGCGUGCCGCCGCCCGUGAGAACUACCUUGCUGAGCACCGCCGCGAGUACGACCGCCGUCAGAACGAGAAGGCGGUCCUUUCCAAGUUCCUUCACGAUGCCGACGAGUUUGAGCGAACGUGGCGCAAGCGUGCCAACAUCGAUAAACCCUCGAAGCGCGACGAGCAGCAGCGUCUCCUCGAGGAGGAAAUGCGCCGUCUCGGGGGCGAAUGAAGCACACGCUGGGCAGCAGGAAGGCCAAAAGGAGGAAAAAGAGCGGGCCGUCGUUAGAUUGUGUGACAGAGUCGGUCUUGCAGCGACUACGGCAAAGGACUACCGAUCUCCGUUCUCACACACUUCUCACCACCGUCGUGCCGCUUCUUUUUUUUCCUUCGACCACUUCUCAGGGUAGUGCUGGCUACUCACAUUCUUUCGAAUCCUUUCGGAUCCGGAUCGAUCUUGCCUGUUUGGCGCCCGCGUGCGCACUCUCCCUGCUGCGGAUACGGGUGGUAGCCGGGCGUAGCUGGCACAGAUUGGUCGUCUGUUCGUGAAGGCGUUAGUUGUUUGGCGGUGUUGAAUGCUUGUAUGCCUCAAGGUCGCUCUCUGUUAUUCAAGCUGGCAUGCUGCUGGUCGCGAAUGCAUGGCUCUGAAUACGUGUCUGAUGCUCUCUUUUUUUGUAAGUAAGCCUUUCUCCGACGUUUGGUGAUGCCACGGCUGAUCCAUUGUUUUCCUUGUUCUAUGUGCAUCGGUGUAUCGCUGCCUUCGUCCGUGUGGCUGCGUGGAGCAGCCAUCAAUUAUCUCUCUCCUUCGCAACUCACACUACCGUUGUCCCUGUGGUUGUCGCUGUUUUUUUCUUUCCUCUCUGGUGAAGUCCGCCCUAGGAGACAUAAGGGACUAACUGACCCCCUAACCUUGACAAGAUGACUG